rnacentral:lncRNA from 1 species
GGGGCGCGCGGGUCACCCGGGGACUGUGCCGGGCUCCCGGCGGGAAAGCAGCGGCCUCCACCGCGGCGCGCGCAGGCGACGCUCACCGCGCCCGAAAGUUAGCGGGGGACCCGGUCACACCCGUCGCCCCCGGGCAGGGUCAGCCUUUCUGGACCGCUGUUAGAGACGCGCCGGCGCGUUUGUGCGCGGGACUCGCGCUCGGGUUCGAGUCGGCUCGGCGCCCAGGGGGGCUCGCGGGGCAGAGGGGACGCGGGGCGAGGGAGGCGCGGGCGCUUGCGAGGGUCUCACUGCGAGGUGCGGCCGCCGCUUGGGUGCUGGAGGCAGAACCUCCCCCGGUUUCCACUGGCGGGCUACGCUGAGGAAGGUGUGCGGCGGCGGCUUCGCGGGGACCCACCGGGGGGCGCCCCGAGAACCUGGGUCCGGACGCAAGGAGCGCCCUCGGAGGGGGCCCGCCGCCUGGGUUUGCUGUGAGUGGCGUAUGGACGACAGAGCCGAGGAAAAGGGAAAAUCGAUCCGGAGAAGUGGUGUUGACAACCACAGCAGCCGGGAAGAUCAGCCACCCUGGCCACGUGUGGACGGACCCUCGCCAGGAUCAUGGGUUUUCCCUUCCGGGAUCGGAACGCGGGAGCUAGACGCGCUGCGUGUGAGCAGCACAGAAAACCACGGUUGCCGCCCCAUGAAGCCUUCAGUCUAGAGAGGGAUCCGCCCAGAAGUUACCCAAGGAACAGACAAUUACAAGUUAUAAUUCUCUGAAGGAAACAUAUGGAGUGUUAUUGGUGAAUGUGAAAAGGGCAACAAAUACAGUUUGUGACAUCAGAAAAGAACUUUUUGAGGACGUCGUUAUUAAAUCUCCCCCUGGGUUCUCCCACAAGCAGGUUUUGAGGUGUGGAUUUGGGUGCAGGUAGUUCAUUUGGGAGAUCGAUCCCAGGAAACUAGAGAGAGGAAGUAGGGAGAGAGAGGCAGGGCAGGAGAG